AUUGAUUUCUCAUCUCAUAGCGAAGCCGUAGUUGUGAAUAGAAAAUUUGAAAUGCAAUCAAACAGAUCGCAGGCAGCGUACCCACCUGUCUUCUCUUAGAGAUUAAGAGAAGAAAUUAUUCAUUUAAGAGCGACGACCGAAUCCCAUUCAGCUCAAAUUCUGUGGUCACCAUGGAAAUUUGAAGAUAUUUAAGCUUUUUUCUCUUCCCAUAAAUCACCACUUAUUCUGAGAUUCCCCCCCUAUUUCCCUUUUCGUUACCUUCUUUUGUUUUCUUUUUUCGAAACAGAAGAUUCCCAUCUUGUUUACCAUUUUUCUUACAGUUACAGAGAAAUUACGAGGCUGUCAUUCGUAAAUCUCCACCAAAGCAAGAAAUUGGUGACGCGGGAGGCACCAACCAAGAAAAGGUGAAGAUUCUCCACUGACAGGACACCCCAUUUCUUGCAGNAGAAUUAUUAUUACUUCUUCCUAUUGUUAAUUAUACAUCAUACUCGUAGUGAUUGGUUAGCAAAGUUUACGCAGCGUUGGGCCGAGACCGAAGUGUUUCAGCGCAAGGUUGAAGUCUAAAUUUAAACAUUAAAUCUGAAAGUAGGAAUUUGUGGCUGUUUGGGGUGGAAUUCUAUAAUCAAACUGAUGCCAUAUUGAAAAAUUGGUUGGAGAUUUUGUAGCUCAGGUCAAUAGAAUUAUGGUCGUGGUCUCAAUUUUAUGAACCAGUGAUCGAAUAUGUCAAAAUUAAAGUCGUCUUCUCUUUUCUUUCUAAUAAUACAGUACAAUUAAUAAUAAUAAUGAUAAUAUAUUUACCAUAAUAUUUGACCAAAAAUUUCAUAUCAGAUAAAAUGCCGUGUUCCAAACGAAAUUACCCCAAAAAGAAUCCUCCCAUCUUCUCUUCCUUUUCUUCAUGUAGAAGUUGCGAAAAUCGAGCACGUAAUCACCCAAAAUAUUGUACACUAGUCUACAACAGUUUGGUAUUUUAGAUGAAAAGAUAAGUUUUCCCAUUACAAAAGAAAAGAUAAGUAUUUCUGGAAAAAUAUAAGUAUGGGUUAAUUAUCGACAUAAUUGGUGUGUGCAUUAGUUAUUUAACCAUUAUAACAUGUAUACUUUGAAGUUUGAACCUAAUUAGUCAAAACAAUCGAUGACACUCCACUACACACCACACCAUGCUUGUGGCGUGAGACACCCAUGUACCAUUUUAAUAUUAAUGAAUAAUGAUAAAGAAAUAUUCUUUACAAAUAUUUUUAAGAAUUCGAAUUUAUAAAUUUUAAUACGUCAACUAGGUGGGGUAAGUCAAAUUAAACAAUUAAUUGAUUUCUCAUCUCAUAGCGAAGCCGUAGUUGUGAAUAGAAAAUUUGAAAUGCAAUCAAACAGAUCGCAGGCAGCGUACCCACCUGUCUUCUCUUAGAGAUUAAGAGAAGAAAUUAUUCAUUUAAGAGCGACGACCGAAUCCCAUUCAGCUCAAAUUCUGUGGUCACCAUGGAAAUUUGAAGAUAUUUAAGCUUUUUUCUCUUCCCAUAAAUCACCACUUAUUCUGAGAUUCCCCCCUAUUUCCCUUUUCGUUACCUUCUUUUGUUUUCUUUUUUCGAAACAGAAGAUCCCAUCUUGUUUACCAUUUUUCUUACAGUUACAGAGAAAUUACGAGGCUGUCAUUCGUAAAUCUCCACCAAAGCAAGAAAAUUGGUGACGCGGGAGGCACCAACCAAGAAAAAG
rnacentral:lncRNA from 1 species